rnacentral:rRNA from 1 species
GCAAGUCGUACGAGAAAGUCACUUCGGUGUGAGUACAGUGGCGCACGGGUGAGUAACACGUGGGUGACCUACCCUAUUGUGGGGGAUAACUCGAAGAAAUUCGAGCUAAUACCGCAUAAGUUGGAAACAAGAAAGAAUGCUUCGGCAUUUGCGAUAGGAUGGGCCCGCGCUACAUUAGUUUGAUGGUGGGGUAAUGGCCUACCAUGGCUACGAUCUAUAGCUGGUUUGAGAAGAUGAGC